ensembl:lncRNA
GGGGGUGAGAGGAGCUGAGAGGAGCUGAGAGGAGGCUUGUGGAGGGCCAGAGGUAAUGUCGGGCUUGAGAGGAGCUGAGAGGAGCUGAGAGGAGGCUUGUGGAGGGCCAGAGGUAAUGUUGGGCUUGAGAGGAGCUGAGAGGAGCUGAGAGGAGAUGAGAGGAGAUGAGAGGAGGCUUGUGGAGGGCCAGAGGUAAUGUUGGGUAAUGUUGGUAACCACUAUGUAUUGUAUUCACUAGUUAAGCUCUGAUACAGGGUCAGCAUUGGUUCAUGCUAGUAAUGGUUAAGGUUAGGGCUGAAGUGAGAGACAUCUGAUUCUAGAUCUUUACAAUAAACCUUUGAGGUCAGAUUUCAUCCGGAAGAUGAACCCUGAGAUGUCAGCUCUCUGCUCACCCAUGGCAACCCUACCGUGCCAUGGCAACCUAAACCUAGCGGAGUGUUGUCAUCCUGCCAAAGCUUUGCCCUCGACAAGUAGGGCUUCAUUUUGCCCUAAACCUCAAUGGAGACCAACCUAGCUGCCAUAACUUCCAAACCAUUCUAGAAGUUUACUCCAAAGCUAAAUAUAGGAUACAUUAAAAAAUAUAACAAAAUUGAUCAGAGAACUUCGUGUUUGAGUCCCAAAUGGUACCCUAUUCCCUAUUGGCUCUGGUCAAAUGACACCCUAUUCCCUAUUGGCUCUGGUCAAAUGACACCCUAUUCCCUAUUGACUCUGGUCAAAUGACACCCUAUUCCCUAUUGACUCUGGUCAAAUGACACCCUGUUCCCUAUUGGCUCUGGUCAAAUGACACCCUGUUCCCUAUUGGCUCUGGUCAAAUGGCACCCUAUUCCCUAUUGGCUCUGGUCAAAUGGCACCCUAUUCCCUAUUGGCUCUGGUCAAAUGACACCCUGUUCCCUAUUGACUCUGGUCAAAUGACAC